rnacentral:rRNA from 1 species
UCACCAGACUCCUACGGGAGGCAGCAGUGAGGAAUAUUGGUCAAUGGACGAGAGUCUGAACCAGCCAAGUAGCGUGAAGGAUGACUGCCCUAUGGGUUGUAAACUUCUUUUAUAUGGGAAUAAAACAGGGUAUGCAUACCCUCUUGUAUGUACCAUAUGAAUAAGGAUCGGCUAACUCCGUGCCAGCAGCCGCGGUAAUACGGAGGAUCCGAGCGUUAUCCGGAUUUAUUGGGUUUAAAGGGAGCGUAGGUGGAUUGUUAAGUCAGUUGUGAAAGUUUGCGGCUCAACCGUAAAAUUGCAAUUGAUACUGGCAGUCUUGAGUACAGUUGAGGUAAGCGGAAUUCGUGGUGUAGCGGUGAAAUGCUUAGAUAUCACGAAGAACCCCGAUUGCGAAGGCAGCUUACUAAACUGUGACUGACAUUGAUGCUCGAAAGUGUGGGUAUCAAACAGGAUUAGAUACCCGUGUAC